rnacentral:rRNA from 1 species
AGAGUGAACGCUGGCGGUAGGCCUAACACAUGCAAGUCGAACGGCAGCACAGUAGGAGCUUGCUCUUACGGGUGGCGAGUGGCGGACGGGUGAGGAAUACAUCGGAAUCUACCUUUUGGUGGGGGAUAACGUAGGGAAACUUACGCUAAUACCGCAUACGCCCUUCGGGGGAAAGCCGGGGACCAGCAAUGGCCUGGCGCUGAUAGAUGAGCCGAUGUCGGAUUAGCUAGUUGGUGAGGUAAUGGCUCACCAAGGCGACGAUCCGUAGCUGGUCUGAGAGGAUGAUCAGCCACACUGGAACUGAGACACGGUCCAGACUCCGUACGGGA